UACGGGGGGGAGCAAGCGUUGUUCGGAUUUACUGGGCGUAAAGGGCGCGUAGGCGGUCGUGACAAGUCACUUGUGAAAUCUCCGGGCUUAACUCGGAACGGUCAAGUGAUACUGUCGGACUAGAGUACAGAAGGGGCAACUGGAAUUCUCGGUGUAGCGGUGAAAUGCGUAGAUAUCGAGAGGAACACCUGCGGCGAAGGCGGGUUGCUGGGCUGAUACUGACGCUG
rnacentral:rRNA from 1 species